CCAACAUCCUUCCCUAGAAUUCAUCCUCUUCUAAAUCAGAGAUCCAGAUCACAGGUGGUGGACUGCUCUCUGAGUGAGAACUUCCAAGACCAAGGACCCUGGCUGACAAAGAUUCUAAGAGUAACUGAGGAGCUACAAGGAAGGCUUGAAUCAUGUGCAUAUGAGGGAGGCACCAAUGUUUCAACUGGGUUGCUUUCUAUUGGGUGCCUAUUAAGCACUCAGCGCGUUGGAGGAUGCCAGAGAAUUGAAGACUGCCUUCAAUCUCCUGCCUUCAAGGAUCAUCUUAUCUACUUGGGAAGAGACCUACCUACUAAGAACUGUCAACCGAUACAACCAAUUAAUUAACAGCCUGACAUUAAAAUAUAUGAUGUUCAUUCCA